UAGCCUUAAGGAAUUAUUUAAGGUUUUACCUGCCCGGUGAGAUAUUUAACGGCCGCAGUACUUUGACUGUGCUAAGGUAGCAUAAUAAAUUGGCUUUUAAUUGAAGUCGGGAAUGAAAGGGAGUUCGGAUGGAGACUGUCUUAAUAUAUUUUAUAUUAAUUUGCUUUUUUGAGUGAAAAUUCUCAUAAUUUUUUUAUUAGACGAGAAGACCCUAAGAGUUAUAAUUAAAGUAAUAAUUUUUACUUUUCAUUUUUGUUGGGGCAACAAAGACUGGAUUUAACCGUUGUAAUAAUAUUUCUACAUAACCAAUAUAUUUAGAAAGAAAUAAACUACCUUAGGGAUAACAGCAUAAUUAAUUUUUAGAUUGUGACCUCGAUGUUGGAUUAAGGACUUUAUUUAUUAGCCGUAAAUAAAGAUAGUUCUGUUCGAACUUUUUACCUU
rnacentral:rRNA from 1 species